UGAUACGUAGCCGAACUGAGAGGUUGAUCGGCCACAUUGGGACUGAGACACGGCCCAAACUCCUACGGGAGGCAGCAGUAGGGAAUCUUCCACAAUGGACGCAAGUCUGAUGGAGCAACGCCGCGUGAGUGAAGAAGGCUUUCGGGUCGUAAAACUCUGUUGUUGGAGAAGAAUGGUCGGCAGAGUAACUGUUGUCGGCGUGACGGUAUCCAACCAGAAAGCCACGGCUAACUACGUGCCAGCAGCCGCGGUAAUACGUAGGUGGCAAGCGUUAUCCGGAUUUAUUGGGCGUAAAGCGAGCGCAGGCGGUUUUUUAAGUCUGAUGUGAAAGCCCUCGGCUUAACCGAGGAAGUGCAUCGGAAACUGGGAAACUUGAGUGCAGAAGAGGACAGUGGAACUCCAUGUGUAGCGGUGAAAUGCGUAGAUAUAUGGAAGAACACCAGUGGCGAAGGCGGCUGUCUGGUCUGUAACUGACGCUGAGGCUCGAAAGCAUGGGUAGCGAACAGGAUUAGAUACCCUGGUAGUCCAUGCCGUAAACGAUGAAUGCUAGGUGUUGGAGGGUUUCCGCCCUUCAGUGCCGCAGCUAACGCAUUAAGCAUUCCGCCUGGGGAGUACGACCGCAAGGUUGAAACUCAAAGGAAUUGACGGGGGCCCGCACAAGCGGUGGAGCAUGUGGUUUAAUUCGAAGCAACGCGAAGAACCUUACCAGGUCUUGACAUCUUUUGAUCACCUGAGAGAUCAGGUUUCCCCUUCGGGGGCAAAAUGACAGGUGGUGCAUGGUUGUCGUCAGCUCGUGUCGUGAGAUGUUGGGUUAAGUCCCGCAACGAGCGCAACCCUUAUGACUAGUUGCCAGCAUUUAGUUGGGCACUCUAGUAAGACUGCCGGUGACAAACCGGAGGAAGGUGGGGAUGACGUCAAAUCAUCAUGCCCCUUAUGACCUGGGCUACACACGUGCUACAAUGGAUGGUACAACGAGUUGCGAGACCGCGAGGUCAAGCUAAUCUCUUAAAGCCAUUCUCAGUUCGGACUGUAGGCUGCAACUCGCCUACACGAAGUCGGAAUCGCUAGUAAUCGCGGAUCAGCACGCCGCGGUGAAUACGUUCCCGGGCCUUGUACACACCGCCCGUCACAC
rnacentral:rRNA from 2 species